UUAGAGGCCACUUUCUUCAAGUCUCUAAUUUUGCAUAUGAGAAACACUAAGACUCAGCAGAUAAGGAUGGAGGCGACUCAACAUCACACUGAGACAGAUAUGAGCCCUGCAUUUCUGAAUGCCUUGAAAGAAAAACCAGCAAGUUGGGAGGGCCGUGUCUCCUUAUCAUCUUCCAGGAAUUCAAAACCGUGAUUUCCAGUUUCCAAAUGCAACUCAAGCUCCAUCACCCUGUACAUCUUGCACGGUUUCUCCAGCAUAUCCUGAUCGCCACCUCCAGACCCUUCUGAUAGAUUCAUUACCUGAAUCUAUUUGCUAUUUCUUUAUAUGAAUGCAAGAAUGGACUAACACACUGACCAUGGAACAUAGACAGAUGUGAGAAGAUCCAGAAAAGAUGCAGCUCAAUUAAUUAGAAAGGCCUCUGGAAUGGGCACAAGCCAGAUCCUGAACUCCUGCUCUCCCUUGGCUCAACCUCAUCACAGCCAGAAAGGAUGAGAGCUCUUUAAUGAAGUGCAUACAUGUCAGUUUCCCAGGACACAAACCAAAGUAAAGAAGAAUGGAGCAUGCUCCUAUAAAGGAAAAUAAAAGGAGAUCCAUAAAGCAAAUCCAACUCAUGGACACUUACUAAACAUGCACUGUGUUCAUGUAAUGGCUCCAAGAAUCUUAGUGGACAUGGACGGAAGUACACACCUGGAGUGGACCUACAGAAGCUCAGAGUCAAAUGGCAGAAAGAUGAUAUGGGCAUUGAAUACAUUAAAUGAAAAUAAAAGUAAUAAAUCACAAGAGAAGAGAGUAACUGAGGGUGUCACUGGGCAGUACAUUAGCAAUUAAUUACCAGACACCUAUGCAGUUAAAAUGUACUGCUGGCCUUCAAAGGUGAAGGAAUCCAUGGCCUGGAAUGACCAUAAAAAAUUUAUUUUAACAAAAAGACAUGACUGUAGCCUUUUAGGGUAAAGAGAUUUUAACAUUUGAAGAGCAGAGAGACAGGUACAGCAUUGCAGGCUAGGAAAUGUGGGAGUUCAAAAUGGCAGACCAGGAGGAAGGCAAGUUGUGUUUGGGAAAAUUGACUUUAUGGUUAUUAGAAAGACCAUGUAAGCAAGCAGAGAUCAAUUGUGCUAGAAAUGUUUUUCAAAUUGAGCAUCUGGUGUGUGUUAGGCACUGCUCUCGGCACUGGGGAUACAGCUGUGAACAUGAUCAACAAGGACCCUGCAAUCAUGGAGAUUAAAUUAUAGUGAGGCAAACAGAAUAUAAAUAAAUAUACACAUUAGGUGAAAGCCAGACAGCUUCGGGUCUUAUGGAGAGAGUUACUGUUGGAGCAUGUACUAGAGAAUGACUAAAUGGUAACUAUAUGGGAUGGUCGAAGAUGACCUCAAUGAGGAAUCUCUACACUUAGAUAAGACCCAAAUAGCAAGAAUGGUUCUUGUUCUGUAUUAUAAUCAAGAGGAAGAGGAUUUCAGGCAGAGGGAAAAAUGGGAUCCAUGGGCUAAAACAGGUACUUGAAUGAUGUUUUUGAGGAAAUAAAUGAAGAUCAGGGUGGCUAGAGCAUUGUGAUGAAGGUUUACACCAGGUGCUGGCUGGUUUUUAUUCCUAGUGAGAGACAAUUGUUGCAUUUUCAGGGAUUUUGUAAGGCAAUUCAUAUAACGUUGGUAGCUUAUAAUUGACUAUGGUAGGAAUAUUCAUACCUGAGAAAUCGGCAAACACUGUGAAUCAGGACUCCCUCUUUGUCCCCAACCCUCAACUCCCAUUCAGAGAGCCUGUUUUUGAGUAUUUUCUUGCAUACCACAGAGUGAGUAUAAGAAGCAGCUGGAAUAGUAACUAGGAACCAAUCAUCUUAGGCUUUAUAAGGCAGAGAAAGGAAUUUUAAUUUUAGGUGUGUUGGGAAGCCAUUAGUGGGUCUUAUGUAGGAAAUGAAUAUGGUCUGAUUUACAUAUGUAAAGGAUAAUUCUGAGUAUGUUAUGGAACACUUUGUAAAUAGGUAAAAAGAGAAAUAGGAAAAUCAGCUAUUGCAUUAGACUCAGUUAGAAGUGGCAGUGGUUUUGCUAGGGGUUAUAUAAAAGGAAGAAAACUUAAUAAUGUUAGGCCUGACUAUAGGUAGAAUCUAUAGUUUUUACUCAUGAAUUGGAUGUAAGAAUUGAGGAGAAACGAAGAACCAAGUAAAAAUUUUGAGCUUUGGCUUGGGAAACUAGGUAUAUGGUAACGCCAAAAAGAGAGAUGUAGAGAAUUGAUGUAGGAGCAAAGCUGGGCUGGGAAAUUGAGAAAAUUAUACCUGCCUUGUUAAAGUUGAAACACCCACAUGACACUCACCUGGAAGGAUAUUCACACUUGGAUUGUUGGGGAAUAAUAAGAACUAGAGAUACAGUUUGAGGGUCACUGGCAUAGAGAUAGUAAUUAAAACCAGGAUGUCAGUUAUAUCACCUAGGGAUAAUGCAAAGAGAGAGAAAAGCAGGAGAUAAGACAGAUCGAGCAGUGGGAGAAGCCGGCAUUGAAGAAUGAAGAGGAAAACCAGGCGUGUCUAGUGCCAUGAUGCCAAGAGAAAAACCCAGCUCCGAGAAGACAGGAGUUUGUUUGCUAAUGUUAUUGAGGGAUAAAGUAAAAUACGAAGAGAGAAGUAACUUGGACUGGCGGCAAAGCGAUCACCAGUGCUCCUUCUAACUGUGGUGUCGAUAAAGUAAUGUGGACUGGAUGAAGGAGCCUCGUUGGAAUAAACUCAUAUAGGAAUGAUGAUACCGUGUUUACCUACUAAUGGGAAUGACCCUAUUGAAGAGGGAACAUCACGUAUGUUGGGGAGCGGAAAAGUCAAAGUCCUCGAAAAGGAUUUAUGAACAAGUAUUCAGAGAACUCAAUUCUAUGGAGAAAAUUGACAAGUAGAGACCUUGAAAUGGAGGAUGGCUCGAAACUAUGGAAGCUGGGAAGUGGAAGCACUUUGGAAACCAAUGGCUGAAAAGUUUGCUUUCUGUGAGAAGUGUAAAUCAAAGUCAUGUUUCUGUUUCCAGCAGUAGAGGAAAGAGAGAUAAACCUGAUGGACACAAGCAGGGCCCUGGAUCCACUUUAAAGGGACAUCCAUGGAAACCAAAGAGAUAAGACUGUGCCUCGUCAAUAAAAACCCCACAUCUCUGGGACUCUGCCACCUGGGGCAUUGUUGCCCUGAAGGAAGAAGCUGAAGGGGAGAUUUAGUUCAUUUGAUUAUCAGCCAGAGAGGAGCCAUCCUUCAAGGCCUCCCAGUCUCUGGCUGCAGCAGUAACUGUAACACUUUCAGCAAGUCUGUACCUAGGCCUUGAUCUGUGUGUAACUUUGGAGGUAGUUGAGCCGUUAUUUGAAAGAAUAUUAUUUUGAGCAAAGGAAGGAGCAGUAAGAGCUUUGGCUCUCCAAUGGGGAAAAAUGUAUUCAUCCUUUCAAACCUCUCAGUUAGACUUAGGCAAAAUGCCCAAUCUGCAGAAAACAAUUGGAGAUCCCUCUGAGGUCCUACUUGGUGGAUCUUCUCUCUUAGAAGUGAAUAGACACAGGAGCACAGGGGUCUUAUGCAAUAGAUAAAAGUUCCUGCCUCUGGACACACAGCUCAACCUCCAGUCUCUGAUAGAGGGAGGACCUAUGCCUUUCCAUGUGUGCCCAGAACUCACCAGCAUCUUCCCUUGCCUGCAGAGAUCAGUUCCUACUGCUCCUUCCUUGGCUCAAAAUAUAUAUUUUUUUAAAUAAUGGCUCAAAUACCUCCAAUGCUGGUAACUAAGAAUGCCUGAAAGGGACUGUUACUGGCUCACCUUAAAAACCAAAGGUGUCAUUUUCUGAACAUUGUUUACAUAUUAUGAUUCAGUAGCAAACACACUGGUUUGGCAGUCAGACCACGAGAGUUUAGCCAUGGCUGUGUCUGCUACUAACUUGCUGUGUGACUUUUUGUACCUCUGUUCAACUCUCUGGGAUGAAUGAGUCAUCCUUUGGGUGACAUGAAGAUAACGCAGAUACUAUUCAGAUUCAUGAUUGUCUCAUCAAGUGAGGCUGCAAUGGCCUCCAAUAAUGCAGAAAGCAAUGAGACAUAUUAGAGAAUCUACACAUUCCAAAACUGUGUUUAAGGUAUUUCACAGAGGUCAUUGGUUGAGAAGUGAAUUCUAUAACAAAUCUGUGAUGUUUGACAAUUGAAAACUAGUAAAACUAUAUAGUUACUUAAAAAAAAAAAGGGAGACUGUCAAUAUACCCAUUGCUUUAAAUGUGUUCACUUUUUAAGUAAUAAAUGUAUCAAAAUUAUUUUUUUUCAUUGGCCUCUGUCAUAAAACAACAACUCAAUGAUGAAAAAAUUCCAGAAAGUUUUUAUGACAAGCUGAGCAGUGGAAACAUGAACUUGUGAAAUAUUUAACUUUAUAUAAUUUCUGAAUCU
rnacentral:lncRNA from 1 species